AACAAACGCUGGCGGCGCGUUUUAAGCAUGCAAGUCGGACGGCAAGAGCUGUAGCAAUAUGGCUCCUAGAGUGGCGAACGGGUGAGUAACACGUAGGUGAUCUGCCCUUGGAUGGGGGAUAGUCCGUGGAAACACGGGGUAAUACCGCAUGAGGCCUUGUGGGUAGAGCCAUGAGGUGAAAGGUGCAAUUGCACCGUCUGGGGAUGAGCCUGCGGUCCAUUAGGUAGUUGGCGGGGUAAGGGCCCACCAAGCCUGCGAUGGAUAGCCGGCCUGAGAGGGUGUACGGCCACACUGGAACUGAGACACGGUCCAGACUCCUACGGGAGGCAGCAGCUAAGAAUCUUCCGCAAUGGGGGAAACCCUGACGGAGCGACGCCGCGUGGACGAUGGAGGCCGUAAGGUUGUAAAGUCCUUUUCCUGGUGAAGAAUGACCGUGGGAGUGGAAAGCCCAUGGGAUGACGUUAGCCAGGGAAUAAGCCCCGGCCAAUUACGUGCCAGCAGCCGCAGUAAUAC
rnacentral:rRNA from 1 species